rnacentral:rRNA from 1 species
CAGCCGCCACGGUAAAACGUAGGGUGCAAGCGUUAAUCGGAAUUACUGGGCGUAAAGCGUGCGCAGGCGGUUAUAUAAGACAGAUGUGAAAUCCCCGGGCUCAACCUGGGAACUGCAUUUGUGACUGUAUAGCUAGAGUACGGCAGAGGGGGAUGGAAUUCCGCGUGUAGCAGUGAAAUGCGUAGAUAUGCGGAGGAACACCGAUGGCGAAGGCAAUCCCCUGGGCCUGUACUGACGCUCAUGCACGAAAGCGUGGGGAGCAAACAGGAUUAGAUACCCCUGUAGUCCCUGUCUCUUAUAC